AUUGAACGCUGGCGGCAGGCCUAACACAUGCAAGUCGAACGAGUGGCGGACGGGUGAGUAAUGUCUGGGAAACUGCCCGAUGGAGGGGGAUAACUACUGGAAACGGUAGCUAAUACCGCAUACCAUCGGAUGUGCACAGAUGGGGUUGGCUUGUAGGUGAGGUAAAGGCUCACCUAGGCGAGGCUCCCUAGCUGGUCUGAGAGGAUGACCAGCCACACUGGAACUGAGACACGGUCCAGACUCCUACGGGAGGCAGCGGGGGGGAAUAUUGCACAAUGGGCGCAAGCCUGAUGCAGCCAUGCCGCGUGUAUGAAGAAGGCCUUCGGGUUGUAAAGUACUUUCAGCGGGGAGGCGUUACCCGCAGAAGAAGCACCGGCUAACUCCGUGCCAGCAGCCGCGGUAAUUC
rnacentral:rRNA from 1 species